AUUGAACGCUGGCGGCGGGCUUAACACAUGCAAGUCGAACGAGUGGCGGACGGGUGAGUAAUACUUGGGAAUCUAGCUUAUGGAGGGGGAUAACUACGGGAAACUGUAGCUAAUACCGCGUACCAUAGGAUGAGCCCAAGUGGGAGUAGGUAGUUGGUGAGGUAAAGGCUCACCAGGCCGACGAUCUCUAGCUGGUCUGAGAGGAUGACCAGCCACACUGGGACUGAGACACGGCCCAGACUCCUCCGGGAGGCAGCAGAGGGGAAUAUUGGGAAAUGGGGGCAACCUGACGCAGCCAUGCCGGGGGAAUGAAGAAGGCCUUCGGGUUGUAAAGUUCUUUCGGUAGCGAGGCGUUACCUACAGAAGAAGCACCGGCUAACUCCGUGCCAGCAGCCGCGGUAAUUC
rnacentral:rRNA from 1 species